ACGUAGGGACCAAGCGUUGUUCGGAUUUACUGGGCGUAAAGGGCGCGUAGGCGGCGUGGUAAGUCAGCUGUGAAAUCUCCGAGCUUAACUCGGAACGGUCAGCUGAUACUGCUGUGCUAGAGUACAGAAGGGGCAAUCGGAAUUCUUGGUGUAGCGGUGAAAUGCGUAGAUAUCAAGAGGAACACCUGAGGUGAAGACGGGUUGCUGGGCUGAUACUGACGCUGAGGCGCGAAAGCUAGGGUAGCAAACGGGA
rnacentral:rRNA from 1 species